rnacentral:rRNA from 1 species
UACACAUGCAAGUCGAGGGGCAGCAUCAUCAAAGCUUGCUUUGAUGGAUGGCGACCGGCGCACGGGUGAGUAACACGUAUCCAACCUGCCGACAACACUGGGAUAGCCUUUCGAAAGAAAGAUUAAUACCGGAUGGCAUAGUUUUCCCGCAUGGGAUGAUUAUUAAAGAAUUUCGGUUGUCGAUGGGGAUGCGUUCCAUUAGGCAGUUGGCGGGGUAACGGCCCACCAAACCAACGAUGGAUAGGGGUUCUGAGAGGAAGGUCCCCCACAUUGGAACUGAGACACGGUCCAAACUCCUACGGGAGGCAGCAGUGAGGAAUAUUGGUCAAUGGACGAGAGUCUGAACCAGCCAAGUAGCGUGAAGGAUGACUGCCCUAUGGGUUGUAAACUUCUUUUAUACGGGAAUAAAGUUAGCCACGUGUGGCUUUUUGUAUGUACCGUAUGAAUAAGGAUCGGCUAACUCCGUGCCAGCAGCCGCGGUAAUACGGAGGAUCCGAGCGUUAUCCGGAUUUAUUGGGUUUAAAGGGAGCGUAGGCGGGUUGUUAAGUCAGUUGUGAAAGUUUGCGGCUCAACCGUAAAAUUGCAGUUGAUACUGGCGACCUUGAGUGCAACAGAGGUAGGCGGA